UGAAUUUUAAAAAAUUAUAACAGCAAAAAAAAAAAAAAAAAAAAGAAAAAAGAAAGAAUUUUUCUUUUUAAGGAGAAAAAUUUAAUGACUGUUUUUAUAUGGCUGCUUCCUGGCUUUUUAAUGCUAUAUAUUUUUAAGGUAAAAGUAUAAAUGAAGCUUUUAGUAUGAAAGAUGGCAAAAGGCACUCCAAGCAUGAAAAGUCAAUGCUGGUUGGUUCUAAUUUUUUUAAAUCUUAAUGUGGUUGCAAAUAAAGAAAAACAUCACUUAAAGAAACAAAAAAGAGAUUCAGUUGCGACAUUACCAGAUAAAAUUUCUUCUUUAAUGACAGAUGAGAUAAAGACAGGAACACAGUUUGAAUCAUUAGGUUGUAUUUUUGAAGUAGCUAAAGACGAUUGUAAAACUACUUUUUUGCCAAAACAAUCAAGUUGUCAAGGAAUGACUGUUCCAAAAUUUUUUCAGUAUUUUUAUAGAGAAACCAAUAUAAAAAAUUUAACAUAUGACUUUAUACCUAUGAGAAUUUUACAAGUUGAUAGAUUUAUUAUGGAUCAGUGCUUAGGUGAAGUAGAUAUCGAAAGUACAGCAAAAGAAGGUUUUCAAAUUAUUAAAGGAAAGAUGAAGCUCUUCGAUGGGAAAGUGUUAACAACAUUUUAUUAUAAAGAAGUUUCAGGGUUGCCUGAUUUUGAAAAGUUUUCUAUUGAAAUAAGCGGAAAUGUAAUUAUAGGAAAACAUAUAGCACCAAUAUCUUUAAUUAAAAAAAAAAACUCACUUGAAGCACAAAUUUCUAUUAGAUUAACUUCAAUGACAGCACUUGAUUUCUACCAAUCACUUACAAAUAAAGCGCUACUUGACAAAAGAUCAUUAAUAGACACACAUAUUUUUACAGAUGCUAACAUGCAAGAUCCACUAUUAACUGGGUAUAUUGGUGUUAAUGGUGAUUUUGAAAUAGUUCUUAAAGGAGAAAUUCAACAUGCUGUGCUUGGUGCAAUAUUGCUCUCAGUUGUUGUUCAAAAACCAGUUGAUUCUGCUACUGGUGUUGCUUUAGUUGCUAGCAUAAACAAUAUAAAACCAAACUUAGUUCUAUCUAUAGCCACUGGAAGAAGUCUUGAAACUUUUCCAAUAUUGAAAGGAGUUGUAUCAGAUCUUGUUUUAGAGUUUUCAAAUGAAGACUUGUAUAACAUAAGAGAUGAUAAUGUUAAUAUGGUGUUAGAUAAAUAUAUUUCAGGAGAUAAAAAUAUUUCCAAAGGGGCCAAAAUUAAAUUACAUUUACCAUCAGAUAAAAUUGUUCAAAGAGUAAAAGAACCUAAUAAAAUUUUAGUUCAAAUAUAUCUUAUUGAUGGUAGUUUUUCUCUCAAGUUUCCUGAUAAACUGUUAUUUGAUCUAGCUAGUGUAACAAACAAUUUAAUUCCUAAAGUGCCAGUUGCUCUUUUUUCAAAAGUAUUUCAGGUAUCGCCAGAGGUACUAAUUACAAAAUUUGUUGUUGACAUUAUGACUAAAGAAAUUAAUGUAAAGUGCUUAGCUCCUGAAGAGUUAAUUAUGGGAAAAGAUUUAAUGGCAGUAAAAAAUGCAGAGUUUGAAAUUACCCACAAGCGAAACGAAAGUUGGAAGUUUGAAAUGCAUGCAAGAAAAAAAAUUGCAGGAACUUUUAUGGAUGUUUCACUAGAAAAAAAGAAAGACCAUUACUUGUUUUUAGGAAAAAUUGACAAGAUUACUACAAAACAAUUAGCUACAAAUUUUGGUGCUAAACAAGUUGGUGAAGCUACAAUCGGUCAGAUAGAGUUUUUGAAUUAUGAUUUAUUAGAUGUGAGAGUUGAUGCAGAUUUCAAUGAAGACAUGAAAUUACAUUUUGUUGGAAAUCCAUUGUUUUUUAAUUACAAUUCAUCAAAGUUUGAAGGUUAUGUUCUUGAUGUUAAUGGAGCAAGGAAAAUGAUAUUUGGAUUAGUUUUGAAUGAUUUUCGAAUGGAUGAUUUUGUUCAAAGGUGUUAUCAAAAAGAUUUAAAUCAAGUAAAAUGGAUCAGCAAGUUAUCUGCAACAUUGAUGAUUUCAAAUACUGAUGAUAUAAAAGGAAUCACAUUUGUUACACCUGAGUUUAAAAACAAAGUUUCAUUAAGAAAAGGUGUUACCUUUUCAUCUUUAAUUCCCAUACCAGAGAGUUGUCAUGGAGAACGCAUAUGUGAAUUUGCAAAAGAAAAAGUAAUCCCUGGUACAAAACUCUCUAUUGAUGGCGAUAUAUCUAAAGGUGGGCUACUUUUGAGAGCUCCAUAUCGAGGAAAUGGACUUGAGAUUGGAAAAAAUAUUGUGCUUACUCAAGCAAGAUUUCUAAUAAAAGUUGCAGAUAAAUCAGAGAUCACUAUUGCUGGUAUCAUUGCGAUAAAGAAUCCUUCUUUGAUAUUUGAAGCUUUGAUUAGUAUGGGUUCUACUGGCGAGUUAAUUAUAACAUUACAUUUGGUUGACACUUGGAAGAAUCCAUUUGGUUUUUCUUUUAUUGCAUUUACUAAUGUUGUAAUGACUGCUGCUUUACAUUCAGAAGUGAUGAUUCAUAAAUUGUACAUGAAAGCAACAAUGCACUUUGGAAAGCAUGUAAAUGAAAUUAAUCAGCAGAGAGAUUUAGUUAGCAGUGAGAUUGCUAGUGAUGUUAUUAUAAGUGUUCAGCCAAUGAUUCAUUUUGAUGAUUAUUUCUAUGGUCAAAUUCACACAAUAAACAUGAUGGAUUUUGCUAAAGCAUUUCAUAGAGAAGUUGUUAUGUUAAAAGUUAUUAAAGAUAUCAAAUUUCCGGAUGGAUUAAAAUACGGAUACACUACAAAUGUCAAAAGUACGCAUAUCAAUCAUUUAAAUAUAGAUCUCACAUCUGGAUCAGGUUUAAUGUUUUAUGGAAAAUUAAAGGUAUUGUCAAUGAACUUAAUUUGCUUUAUUAAUGUCACAAAUGCUGAUGUGAUUCUUACUGCAAACAUGCCGCCAAUGCUGAUUGGUCAAGAUCUUGUUUAUUUGCAAAGAAAUCAAGAUGACCAAGAAAAUGGAGGAAAGUUGGUAAUUACAUUAAAUAAUGAGGAGUUUAAGGUGGAAAUAAAAACUUAUGUUGAAUUGCUUGGAGUUGGAGCAAACGUUAACAUACUUAUAGAUGAUAAAGGAAUUAAGUUUGUACUACAUGGAAAAAUAUUUAAUUUAGUCAUGGGAAAUGUAACUGUGUUUGCUCCGUUAGAAAAUGACGAUUUGAUUGCUUCUGUCUUUCAAGUUUCUUCUUGCUUUUUAUCAAGUGUAGCAAAUAUUAAUGCAGAGUCUGCUAAUAUAAUUUCUGAUGUAGCUGAUGAAACUGCAAAAGCACUGAAGGAAAGUGAGGAGAGAAUUGCAGACUCAGUAUUUUUUUACAACCAAGCGCAUGCAAAGUUUGUGAAAUGGACUUCUAAACUAAAAGCAUAUCGUGAUGCCAUAGAAAAAAGAUCAUUAGAAUUAGAUUAUAUUGCAGAACUACUAGAAACUCCAUGUGUAAUGCAAUGUAAAAAAGUUUGCAUUGGUGGUCCAUCAAUAAAUGAACACUGGAAAAAGAUGCGAAGUAGAUGGAUUUCUAGUCCUGAGUGGGAGCCUUGUAAACGGAAAAUAUAUGAUGUUGCAUGUCUUGCUAAUUGUAAAGGAAAACAAGUUUAUAAAGAAGUAGAAGCAAACAAAAAAAAAAAUAUUGAGGAGGUUCUUCUCAACUCAAUGAGCAUUAUUAGCCAAAUAUUAGAUAAUACUAAACUUUUUGUUGAAAAAUCAAAAGACCUGAUUAAUUCAACAGUAUUAGUUGCUCAACAAGUUCAAAAAGUUACAGGUGCUGGCAAAGAAGCAAUGGAAGCAAUUGCAAAUUUUUCAAAAUCAAAUAUAAUUGAAAUUCAUGAUAUCUGCUUUGAUAUGUCAUUGCAAAAAGCAGUGACGACAUAUUUCACAUUAACAAUCGAUGCUACACUUGGGCAGCGAAAGCGAUUAAAUAUGGAUGUGUUUGCAAAAUUAGAUGCAGGUUUUGAAAAAAACAUUGCUGCAGCCAUUGCUGAGCAACUUUUCCCUGGAAUCGGAGUCAUUAAAAGUGAUAUUAAUGAUGCGUUGUUAAACUUUGAAGAUGUGAUUAUAAAAAAGGAAGAUCUUAAAGCAUUUGCAAAAGAAUCUGAAAUACAAGAACAGAAUUUAGAAGCAAUGAUCGAAACUCCUGAGGAAGAUAACCCAGGGGAUGAUACACCAAGCAAAAAUGCUGUCUUUUUAUCAGAAAUUACACGUGACCCUGAAUAUAUACGCAAACAGCUAUAUUCAAAAACAUCAUUAUUAACUAUUCGUGAUGACUUGACUUUGGAUGCAUUUGAAUAUGACUCCCCAUGGUCAUUUUCACAAGAAGAUUCUCCAUUUACACCAUUUAAAAGUGAAGAAAAAUUGGAAACAAAAGACAAUAUAUUAGGAUCAGAUAUAUAUAUUUACCCAGACACUCCUGAAGAUCCUAAUGAUCCAGAUAAAUGUUCCAAGACAAGAGGAUUGGUCUCAAAUUAUGCUACAGUUUCUCAAAUAGUCAACUCUUUGCUGGAGAAGUUGAAAAACUUGAAGGAUCAUUUUGCUGCUGAGGUGAAAAGUUAUAUUGCCAACAUAAAUCAAAUAGAAAGGAAUAUCAUUCACAACUGUAGGUUGUUUAAUAACUUGGUUAUGUUGCAUGUGAUUAUGGUUAUAUUGCAUGCAGUUAAUAUUAUAUUGCAUGUGGUUGUGUGCAGCAUGUGUGCAACACAGGUAAACAAAAUAAAGUUGGUGAUGAAAAAACUGCAGAUGCAUUGUUUUUUGUAUACAAGCUCAGAAACGGAACUUCAAAAUGGAUUCACAAUGUUGAACAGCAGAUUGCAACUCAAGACAGAGAAACACUUCGCAUGUUGCGAAAGUCAUUUUCUGAUGUCAUCAAUACAGAUAAACAGAUGGAUAUACAAAAGUUCUUGGAAAAUAUGAAAAUAGCAACAACUGCUGCAAGCAAAAGGUACGCUGCUCAAGCCAAACAUGCAGCUAAGACUCUCACAUCUGUCACUUUUGAGUCAGCAACAAAAAUUGUUGAAGAUUUGCUCACUGGUGUCGGAGGUACAUUAAGUUCAAAAAAAUCUGCUAUUGACAACCUUCAUGACAAUGUUUUAUUUCUUUCGAAGCAAAUUCCGUGUGCAACUUUGUCGAGAUAGCACAUUAAUGCGUUCAAGCUAAUGUUUGCUUACGCAAAAUCAUUCAAAUGGAUGUUUUCGCCGAAGCGAAAAUAUUAAAGCUAAUGUUUGACAAUGAUUUGAGAAUUUUUGUAUUUUAAGAGUUAUACGGUGUGGUUGCAUCAAGUGCAUUCUGGAAUUGGGUGUUAAAUGAAUAGUACCAGUAAAACUGUCCUAAUAUCGAUAAAAUUAUUGUCUCUAACUAAUAAUUUCUGAUUUUCAAUGAUUUAUUGGUUUUUCAUACUGUAUAGUGCUACGCAUAUAUGAAUCGAAUAGUACAACACUUCAAAAAAUGUCUUCUUUUUUGCAAUUGAUGAUAAUUUAUCUGUAAUGUAUUAGAUCUACAGGAGUUUUCUAUUUAUUUUUACUUUAUUUUGUGUAUAAAUAUUUCUAUAUUUCUAUGUUUCUUAUAAAUUAAAGUUAUUAAAAAAUAUUUAUCUAUUAUAUUUCAAAUGUUUAUUUAAUGUAAAAUAAAAAUUUAUAAUUUGGGGAGAAUAGUGUCGGAUAUAUUU